rnacentral:rRNA from 1 species
GAUGAACGCUGGCGGCGUGCCUAAUACAUGCAAGUCGAGCGAACAGACGAGGAGCUUGCUCCUCUGACGUUAGCGGCGGACGGGUGAGUAACACGUGGAUAACCUACCUAUAAGACUGGGAUAACUUCGGGAAACCGGAGCUAAUACCGGAUGAUAUAUUGAACCGCAUGGUUCAAUAGUGAAAGACGGUUUUGCUGUCACUUAGAGAUGGAUCCGCGCCGCAUUAGCUAGUUGGUAAGGUAACGGCUUACCAAGGCAACGAUGCGUAGCCGACCUGAGAGGGUGAUCGGCCACACUGGAACUGAGACACGGUCCAGACUCCUACGGGAGGCAGCAGUAGGGAAUCUUCCGCAAAGGGCGAAAGCCUGACGGAGCAACGCCGCGUGAGUGAUGAAGGUCUUCGGAUCGUAAAACUCUGUUAUCAGGGAAGAACAAAUGUGUAAGUAACUAUGCACGUCUUGACGGUACCUAAUCAGAAAGCCACGGCUAACUACGUG